rnacentral:rRNA from 2 species
AGCCUUCGCUCAACCGAAGAAGGCAUCGGAAACUGGAAACUUGAGUGCAGAAGAGGACAGUGGACUCCAUGGUAGCGGUGAAUGCGUAGAUAUAUGGAGAACACCAGUGGCGAAGGCGGCUGUCUGGUCUGUAACUGACGCUGAGGCUCGAAAGCAUGGGUAGCAAACAGGAUUAGAUACCCUGGUAGUCCAUGCCGUAAACGAUGAGUGCUAGGUGUUGGAGGGUUUCCGCCCUUCAGUGCCGCAGCUAACGCAUUAAGCACUCCGCCUGGGGAGUACGACCGCAAGGUUGAAACUCAAAGGAAUUGACGGGGGCCCGCACAAGCGGUGGAGCAUGUGGUUUAAUUCGAAGCAACGCGAAGAACCUUACCAGGUCUUGACAUCCUUUGACCACUCUAGAGAUAGAGCUUUUCCUUCGGGGACAAAGUGACAGGUGGUGCAUGGUUGUCG